rnacentral:tRNA from 1 species
UGAGCCGUCGUCAAGUGGUAAGACACUGGUUUUUGGUACCAGCAUUCCGCAGGUUCGAAUCCUGCCGGCUCAG